rnacentral:lncRNA from 1 species
GGCUGAAAUCAUCUAUACUAUAUAUGCUCAUAUUGUAUGAGAUGUUGCAUGGUUUAUCCAUUGCAUUUAAGGCUUCAAAUUUUUUGGCCUUUCUAUAGUGACUUUUGAACUAAGUGGUUUUUUUCUUUAUCAAAUUAACUGAGCUUACUCUUGGAACAUAAAGGAUCGACUCCGGUGGCUAAUAAUCCAUUUUUAUUGCCUUAUGAUUGGCCAUUGCUGCAGCUAAGAAAUAUUUGAAGGCUUAGCGACGUUUAUAGUGUAAAAUUCGUGGUAAAUAUUCAUCAUAUGCAUGAGCAUAAAUCCAACACCCUAGGCAUUAUGUCCUGCCUCCUGUAUAACAGGAAGUUUUUAGUGAACUUAACAUGCAUUUUAUUUCCUUUAGUAGAAGAUUUGUUGAGUUUGCUUCUGAGUUAUGAACAUAAUCAAAAUAUGCAGGAUCUGUUGCAUUCAUAGAAAAUGCAAGGUUUGGAACUUAAGAAGUUUCUGUUACUGAAAAUUUAUCUAAAAUUCUCGUUGAGUGGAAAUCCAUCCUGUCUCACUAUUUAGCAUCUUUCUCUGUGAGUGCAGGUCCUCACUGUGAAAGAAGUGUCGUAGGUACCAGUCAAGUUCUUGGAAACAAGGGAAUUUGUUCCUCCUCCUGACUAGAAGGCUACGGAUCUAAAGAAAAAUCUAGCUUAGGGUCAUAAAUUAGAUUUGUCGGAGACACUUCCGAUUUCUUUCCAUAGCUUGCACCAGCUGAAUAGUGUCGUCAUUAAGUGGCUGCUUGGCACAAUGUUCCACACCUGUAAGUCCUACUGUUUGAUAUUGUGUUUGAAAAGAUAUAUUUGAAUUGACAGUUGCUAAUUUCUGCCUCUAAUCACUACAUGCUCUAAUUAAAGCUUAUUCUGGGGAAUCACAAAAUUUUAUGUUGAAAAUGGUUUAAUGUUGACUUUUUAAGAUACGGACUUUAUGAUUACUUUCAGGGAGGAGAGACUAAGGUUUUGGUCCGAUCCUGAUACAAAGUUGAAACUGGAUACAGAUGUUGUUGCUUGUGUCUUCCAAAUUGGUAUAUAGAUUGGACAAGGAUGAUGCCAGAGUAGCCAAUCAAUGGGAGCAAAGAAACUGUAAGUUUAAUAUGCUCUGCGUGUGUGUACGUGCAUGCGUGCAUUUGCAUCUUUGUAUGCUUUUAACGUGUCACACUGUCGUUUUGGUGAAAAUUGGACUGACAGGUAAAUUAAAAACGGAACUAUUUUCAAAUUAUAAUCUUUAAGGCAUUCCUAUUCAUAUACUGCAAGGAACUGAAGUGUUGUUAGAUAAGAAAUCACACGAAAUUCAUUUGUUUGAUAUUUUGUUCUAGGUCAAUUAUACUACAUUGGAAUGAUAUAAAUGGAUAAUCAAUAGGGUUCACUCAUGUGGUAUGAAGGUGACAACUCUUUCAUCGUUCACUUCCCCCUUGGACUGGAGAAUAUGGAGGAUGGAAACUGGAGAUAACUGUUGAUAUUUCUUGGAUUUUAUCAGGUUAGGCUUGCUUUCAGUGGAAUUCACUUAUUAUUUAAAUUGUUGCAGCUUGUGUGAUGAUGUUAGUUUUCCAUGCUUUUCUCUUUAUUUUCCUCGUAUUCAAUUGAAAUGGAUGAUCCUUAUAUAGCAUCUGGAAGUUUAGUUGUUUUCUUUGUUAUGCUAUAGCUCAAUCCUAAAUGGAAUCUACUUUCUGUGCAUCCGUGUGUGUGCUUCUUAGGCUACAAUACUCACAAUGUAGAAUUUUUUGUCGCUCAAAAAAUAAGCACAAAACCUUAAUACAAUUUUUGCUAAAUUAUUUUCUACUCUUUUCAAGUCUCGUAAAAUUCUCAUUUCAACCUUGAGACCUUAAAUUCUCCCAGUUUAAGAAAAUAUUUUGGCGAGACUUCUAAUUACUAUGCUAAACAAACGAAGGCACAAGCUGUAGCCCAAGUUAGUGGUCAAAACAAAUUGAGCUAAAACCAAAUGAACCAAACAAACACUCAUGACAUAUCAAGAAAAUCCAAACGAAUUGUCAAACAGACAAGCUCUCAAUGAGUUCGAACCAAGCAAUAGAGUGAAGCAAACAAGUUCUACCAAGGCAAAUUCCUGACUUAAACAACAACUAGAUUUUACAAAACUAUCAAAUCCGAAUUCUAAAUAGCAAAAUAAACGGAAGACCAAAGAUACAAAGCCAAUCAAAGUCAUCGUUGAACGCAACCACAAAUUGUAACUAUAGGCGCAACAUGCUCCAAUUGGAUAGGGUCCAAACAAUGUUGGAACUUAAUCUAAAUCACUAUCAUAGUCAACAAAUGUCCACAAAUUGUAACUUUAGGUGCAACAUGCUCAAACACACUCCAACUGGAUAGGGUCCAAACAAUGUUGGAACUAAAUCUAAAUCAUUAUCAUAGUCAAUAAUUGCAAGAUUAUCAAGAGUCCCAAUACAAGUUUUCUCAAAUUCAUUACUGAAGUGAGUCAUCAAACAUUGGUUAACGCUUGUUGUUCAAAUCUAGGACAACAAUAUUGA